UACGUAGGGUGCAAGCGUUGUCCGGAAUUACUGGGCGUAAAGGGCUCGUAGGCGGCCAACUAAGUCCGACGUGAAAUCCCAAAGCUUAACUUUGGAACUGCGUCGGAUACUGGAUGGCUUGAAUUCGGGAGAGGGAUGCAGAAUUCCAGGUGUAGCGGUGAAAUGCGUAGAUAUCUGGAGGAAUACCGGUGGCGAAGGCGGCAUCCUGGACCGACAUUGACGCUGAGGAGCGAAAGCUAGGGGAGCAAACGGG
rnacentral:rRNA from 1 species